ensembl:ncRNA C18A3.13 ncRNA
UAGUUAGUUACUUGGAAAAAAUGAAGAAACAAACUUUAAAUCUGUUUUUAGAUCAAAUUAACAACGCAAUUAUUUUUCAAACUGGUCGUUUGGCAAAAUUUUGUAAAGGACUUUUAAGUAAUCAAAAAUUAAAAAAAAAAUUAAGCAAACUAUGAUCUGUUGUGAAAU